UACGGAGGGUGCAAGCGUUAUCCGGAUUUACUGGGUUUAAAGGGUGCGUAGGUGGGUAGGAAAGUCAGUGGUGAAAUCUUCGGGCUUAACCCGGAAACUGCCAUUGAUACUAUUUAUCUUGAAUACUUUGGAGGUAAGCGGAAUAUGUCAUGUAGCGGUGAAAUGCUUAGAUAUGACAUAGAACACCAAUUGCGAAGGCAGCUCACUACGCGAAUAUUGACACUGAGGCACGAAAGCGUGGGGAGCGAACAGG
rnacentral:rRNA from 1 species